rnacentral:rRNA from 1 species
GAUGAACGCUAGCUACAGGCUUAACACAUGCAAGUCGAGGGGAAACGACAUCGAAAGCUUGCUUUUGAUGAGCGUCGACCGGCGCACGGGUGAGUAACGCGUAUCCAACCUGCCCACCACUUGGGGAUAACCUUGCGAAAGUAAGACUAAUACCCAAUGAUAUCUCUAGAAGACAUCUGAAAGAGAUUAAAGAUUUAUCGGUGAUGGAUGGGGAUGCGUCUGAUUAGCUUGUUGGCGGGGUAACGGCCCACCAAGGCAACGAACAGUAGGGGUUCUGAGAGGAAGGUCCCCCACAAUUGAACCGAGACCCGGGCCAAACCCCCACGGGAGGGAGGCGUUAGGAAUAUUGGGCCAAGGACCAGGGUCCUAACCAGCCAAGUUGCGUUCAGGAAGGCCGGCCUAUUGGUUGUAAACUUCUUUUAUAAGGGAAUAAAGUGAGUCUCGGGAGACUUUUUGCAUGUACCUUAUGAAUAAGGACCGGCUAAUUCCGUG